GAUGAAGAACGCAGCGAAAUGCGAUAAGUAGUGUGAAUUGCAGAAUUCAGUGAAUCAUCGAAUCUUUGAACGCACAUUGCGCCCCUUGGUAUCCCGAGGGGCAUGCCUGUUCGAGCGUCAUUUCACCACUCAAGCCUGGCUUGGUGUUGGGCGACGUCCCCUUUGGGGACGCGCCUCGAAACGCUCGGCGGCGUGGCACCGGCUUUAAGCGUAGCAGGAUCUUUCGCUUUGGAAGUCGGGGCCCCGUCUGCCGGAAGACCUACUCGCAAGGUUGACCUCGGAUCAGGCAGGGAUACCCGCUGAACUUAAGCAUAUCAAUAAGCGGAGGA
rnacentral:misc_RNA from 1 species